ACAAGAUGAGAAUGGGAAUGGGAUGUCAGCACUUGAACUGUCCCCACCUAGCUUCACUCUCAGCUUGCUUUGUUAACCCUAGUACCUUUGCCAGAGUAGUGCUCACCUAGUAACAUUGUGCUCUCACAUUGCAGACAUUCACCCUGGUUGGGCAAGAUAUGCAAAACGCUGCUUUCUUCUGGUCCAUGAUGUUCCUGGUCCUGGCAGCUGCUAGUGGUCUGGGGCACUUCUUCAGAACGCUGGGUGUAGGCAUUGCUGGUGAAAACCUGACAUUCCGCCUGCGGGUGCUGUGUUGGCCAACAUACUGCGGCAACACAUGGGGUGGUUUGAUGAAGACUCCCAUUCCUCUGCCAAACUGGCCUCUCGGCUAGCGAGUGACAUUCCUGUUGUUAAAACUGCUACUGCCUGGCAGUAAUGUUCACAGCACUCAUAACGCUUGGAACGAGCUUGGCAUUGGCCUUUGCCUUUGGCUGGAAACUGGCCCCGGUGGCCAUUGUGCCCAUCCUGGCCCUGGCUGGUGGCCUGCAGCUGCGUGUUGAAAAGGCCUUCCAGCGUCGCGAUGCUCACCUCAUGACUCACGCUAUUGAAGGGAGUGAAGCAUCCAGCUCACGCUUACACUCCUGUUGUCGAGAUGAAAUAUUAGUGCCUAAGUCAUCUGCUUUCACUGAGCUCAGUAGUCUGAGUUUAUGUA